rnacentral:tRNA from 1 species
AAAAUUGUAGUAUAAGUUAGUAUAUCUCGUUGUCGAUGAGGGGGUUGUUGAUUUUG